rnacentral:rRNA from 1 species
GAUGAACGCUGGCGGCGUGCCUAAUACAUGCAAGUCGAGCGAACGGACGAGAAGCUUGCUUCUCUGAUGUUAGCGGCGGACGGGUGAGUAACACGUGGAUAACCUACCUAUAAGACUGGGAUAACUUCGGGAAACCGGAGCUAAUACCGGAUAAUAUUUUGAACCGCAUGGUUCAAAAGUGAAAGACGGUCUUGCUGUCACUUAUAGAUGGAUCCGCGCUGCAUUAGCUAGUUGGUAAGGUAACGGCUUACCAAGGCAACGAUGCAUAGCCGACCUGAGAGGGUGAUCGGCCACACUGGAACUGAGACACGGUCCAGACUCCUACGGGAGGCAGCAGUAGGGAAUCUUCCGCAAUGGGCGAAAGCCUGACGGAGCAACGCCGCGUGAGUGAUGAAGGUCUUCGGAUCGUAAAACUCUGUUAUUAGGGAAGAACAUAUGUGUAAGUAACUGUGCACAUCUUGACGGUACCUAAUCAGAAAGCCACGGCUAACUACGUGCCAGCAGCCGCGGUAAUACGUAGGUGGCAAGCGUUAUCCGGAAUUAUUGGGCGUAAAGCGCGCGUAGGCGGUUUUUUAAGUCUGAUGUGAAAGCCCACGGCUCAACCGUGGAGGGUCAUUGGAAACUGGAAAACUUGAGUGCAGAAGAGGAAAGUGGAAUUCCAUGUGUAGCGGUGAAAUGCGCAGAGAUAUGGAGGAACACCAGUGGCGAAGGCGACUUUCUGGUCUGUAACUGACGCUGAUGUGCGAAAGCGUGGGGAUCAAACAGGAUUAGAUACCCUGGUAGUCCACGCCGUAAACGAUGAGUGCUAAGUGUUAGGGGGUUUCCGCCCCUUAGUGCUGCAGCUAACGCAUUAAGCACUCCGCCUGGGGAGUACGACCGCAAGGUUGAAACUCAAAGGAAUUGACGGGGACCCGCACAAGCGGUGGAGCAUGUGGUUUAAUUCGAAGCAACGCGAAGAACCUUACCAAAUCUUGACAUCCUUUGACAACUCUAGAGAUAGAGCCUUCCCCUUCGGGGGACAAAGUGACAGGUGGUGCAUGGUUGUCGUCAGCUCGUGUCGUGAGAUGUUGGGUUAAGUCCCGCAACGAGCGCAACCCUUAAGCUGAGUUGCCAUCAUUAAGUUGGGCACUCUAAGUUGACUGCCGGUGACAAACCGGAGGAAGGUGGGGAUGACGUCAAAUCAUCAUGCCCCUUAUGAUUUGGGCUACACACGUGCUACAAUGGACAAUACAAAGGGCAGCGAAACCGCGAGGUCAAGCAAAUCCCAUAAAGUUGUUCUCAGUUCGGAUUGUAGUCUGCAACUCGACUACAUGAAGCUGGAAUCGCUAGUAAUCGUAGAUCAGCAUGCUACGGUGAAUACGUUCCCGGGUCU